ensembl:lncRNA
CAUCUCUAGACGAAUGUGCUCAACAGACGAAAUUAGAAAUUCAGGCAACUGCUUCACCUGACGUAUUCAAAGGACAUGUGAUCAAACAUUGCAAAGCCAGAGGCAUGUGGGAAUAAAGUCUUUAUUCCUGUCCCAUGAGUGAUUCAACCUUGCAUUUACAUUCAUUGAAAAAUAGGCUUUUGUCUCCAAAUAAACGCAGGCGCUGGAACCACUGAGCUAAAUCCCCGGCCCUGCAAAAUUUGUUUUUAAUGAAAAUAGAAAUUCAAACCAUUCCUGAACACGAAUCCCACAAAGCAGGUGACUAGAAAAGAAGCAGAUGACCAAAGGCCACUUAAUAUCCUAAGCUGGGGAAAGGACUGUGGACUUGGUGCUGCUGGGAGUGAUGGGGACAAUUACAGAAGGGGAAGGACAGAGAGAGAUGAUAUCUCGGGCAACAUAAAAAGCUAUUUAUUGCAUCUUUACUAAAUUUAAUUCAUGAGAAGGCACAGAUGUGGAAACAACCCUGACAAUUCUUCCACCUCCCAUGAAUUGAAGUCUGGAAAUAGCCAACGGACUGGUAUUCAUAAAAAUUGACUUUGAACAAACAAAUGGGAAAAAAGGGCAAUAUAAUACUUGUAAUCCAUCCAUGCACUGCAAUAUUUUCUUAAUAUAACAAAAUCAGGGUGGACACUGAUAACCUUUGGGAAUAUUCCAUCAACUUUUUGUAUCAUCC